ACAAAUUCAAUCUUUUAAAAUUCAUCCUGUUUCUUCCCACUGCUGAAUCUCCAUCGGUAAUUCUCAUAAACUUGUAUAGUUUUAUUUUCAUAUGCAAAGAUCUCUGCUUUCUUUUAAUUUACAGAAAAACAACCAAACUCCCACAAAAUUCUUGUUUUUACAAAUUCAAACAUGCAUACACAGGUAUUUAAUUCAUAAGAAAUCGAAAAGGAAUACAUAUUCAUUAAUUUUACAGAAAACAAACUUAGAUUUAGAAACCUUUGUUGAUAAAGGGAGUUGGGAUGAAGUGGGGUGAUGAGCUACUCGCCGGAGCUAUGACCGCCGCCACAUAUGAGAGGCAGCGGCGGAGAGGAGGGGAAGCGGUUGAACAGCACCGCCGGCGCUUCACGCCACGGCGGCCGGCGAAGGAGAAGAAGCAGGGCACAGUCCAGAUCUGGAAGAGGCGCGAUGGCGCCGCUGCCGUAUGUUGUUGUCCGACCCGGAGAGAGAGGCUGAGAGGGCGUGACAGAGUGAGAUGUCGAGAGUGAGAGGGAGACUAGAGGUGAGGAAAGGGAGAGAAGGUGAUGGCGGCAGUACAGGAAGGGAGGCGGCUGGGCGCGCCUCCGUCGACACAGGGACGGCGGUGGUGGCGUUGCGGUCGGCCAAGAGGGAGGAAGAAGAGGAGUCGCCGGCCUCCGGCGACGGUGUGCCGGCGAUGGCGGCAGGAGGCCGAGGGAGAGAAAGGGGAUGAGAGAGGAGAGAGUAGCUGUUAGAGAAGGGAGGGUGUGUGCGUGAAUUAUGUGUGUGUGAUGGAAGUAGAAGUCAAAAGUGGGUAUUAAAUUAGGGUGAAGGGAAGAAUGGGCUUGGGGUGGUUUUUAUGGGUUUUAAAUUUAGGUUUAAUUUUAUUAAAUGUUUGGGCUUAAAUCAACUUAUUUUUAUGGACUGCAUUUGCAUACAUUUAUACAAAGGAU
rnacentral:lncRNA from 1 species